CCUACGGGAGGCAGCAGUAGGGAAUCUUUCACAAUGGGCGAAAGCCUGAUGGAGCAACGCCGCGUGCAGGAUGAAGGCCUUCGGGUUGUAAACUGCUUUUAUAAGCGAGAAAUAUGAUGGUAUCUUAUGAGUAAGGAUCGGCUAACUACGUGCCAGCAGCCGCGGUCAUACGUAGGAUCCGAGCAUUAUCCGGAGUGACUGGGUGUGAAGAGUUGCGUAGGUGGGAUAAUCAGUAGCUAGGGAAAGCUGGUGGCUCAACCAUUCAGACUAUUAGCUAAACUGUUAAGCUCGAGACCGUUAGGGGUAACUGGAAUUGCUAGUGUAGGAGUGAAAUGCGUAGAUAUUAGAAGGAACACCAAUGGCGUAGGCAGGUUACUGG
rnacentral:rRNA from 1 species